rnacentral:rRNA from 1 species
AUUGAACGCUGGCGGCAGGCCUAACACAUGCAAGUCGAGCGGAUGAAGGGAGCUUGCUCCUGGAUUCAGCGGCGGACGGGUGAGUAAUGCCUAGGGAUCUGCCUGGUAGUGGGGGAUAACGUCCGGAAACGGGCGCUAAUACCGCAUACGUCCUGAGGGAGAAAGUGGGGGAUCUUCGGACCUCACGCUAUCAGAUGAGCCUAGGUCGGAUUAGCUAGUUGGUGGGGUAAGGGCCUACCAAGGCGACGAUCCGUAACUGGUCUGAGAGGAUGAUCAGUCACACUGGAACUGAGACACGGUCCAGACUCCUACGGGAGGCAGCAGUGGGGAAUAUUGGACAAUGGGCGAAAGCCUGAUCCAGCCAUGCCGCGUGUGUGAAGAAGGUCUUCGGAUUGUAAAGCACUUUAAGUUGGGAGGAAGGGCAGUAAGUUAAUACCUUGCUGUUUUGACGUUACCAACAGAAUAAGCACCGGCUAACUUCGUG